GAGCAUGUGAUAGUCUCUCUGCCAAAGUCCACCAAACCAACAUCUCUCAGCCGCCAACAAACCAGUUGUUCUUCCCCUCCAAACCAACAAACUAGAUCAUGUAGCCGCUGGCGAUCUCGAGCAGCUCAAAGCUUUGGCCAUUCAACGCCGCGGAGUUCAAGCCGUCCAGGUUGCCAAAUCUCCCCCGAUGCAUGGUUGAAUAAUAUGCAAGAAUUUGAUAAAGAUCGACGCAAUGAACUUUUGGGGUUUUCUACGGGGUUUUCCAUUCCCUUUUUAUAGUUUAAUUUCUCCAUGUAACAAGAUGGUGGGUUUUCUAUGGUAUUAGCAUCAUCCAGAAUAUGUGGUUUUUAUGAUUAGAUUAUUAUGAAUAUAUUUAGCAGAUAUUGUGAUGCAA